GUCGUGAGAUGUUGGGUUAAGUCCCGCAACGAGCGCAACCCCUGUCGCAUGUUGCCAGCAUUUAGUUGGGGACUCAUGCGAGACUGCCGGUGACAAACCGGAGGAAGGUGGGGAUGACGUCAAGUCAUCAUGCCCCUUAUAUCCAGGGCUACACACGUGCUACAUUGGCCGGUACAAAGGGCUGCGAUACCGCGAGGUGGAGCGAAUCCCAAAAAGCCGGUCUCGGUUCGGAUUGGAGGCUGAAACUCGCCUCCAUGAAGGCGGAGUUGCUAGUAAUCCCGGAUCAGCAACGCCGGGGUGAAUACGUUCCCGGGCCUUGUACACACCGCCCGUCACACCACGAAAGCGGGCAACACCCGAAGCCGGUGACCCAACCCUUACGGGAGGGAGCCGUCGAAGGUGGGGCUCGUGAUUGGGGUGAAGUCGUAACAAGGUAGCCGUACCGGAAGGUGCGGCUGGAUCACCUCCUUUCUAGGGAGCUCGUCAAGGACGAGCCCGUCGUGCCGGCCUUAUGGCCACACGGCGUCCCUGAAUGUCGACCGGGCCUGGAGGUCCGUCGCAAGACGUCUUUGCGGCGGCCACACGCGCCAGAUUGCGCGUGGUGCACUGCUGAGUUUUGAGAGACCAGCCGGGGAGUCCCUCCGGCUGCGCCCUCGCCGGACCUUGAAAACUGCAUAGUUGGCCAAACAACGGAAGAUCACCGUUGUACGCCGGUGACCGCCUUCGGGCAGGUUGCCGGCUUAUCAACGAUCACCGUCAAGAUAGUAAGGGCACACGGUGGAUGCCUUGGCAUCAGGAGUCGAUGAAGGGCGUGGACGGCUGCGAUAAGCCGCGGUGAGCUGCUGAACAGGCUUUGACCCGCGGAUAC
rnacentral:sRNA from 1 species